rnacentral:rRNA from 1 species
GACGAACGCUGGCGGCGUGCUUAACACAUGCAAGUCGAACGGAAAGGCCCUGCUUUUGUGGGGUGCUCGAGUGGCGAACGGGUGAGUAACACGUGAGUAACCUGCCCUUGACUUUGGGAUAACUUCAGGAAACUGGGGCUAAUACCGGAUAGGAGCUCCUGCUGCAUGGUGGGGGUUGGAAAGUUUCGGCGGUUGGGGAUGGACUCGCGGCUUAUCAGCUUGUUGGUGGGGUAGUGGCUUACCAAGGCUUUGACGGGUAGCCGGCCUGAGAGGGUGACCGGCCACAUUGGGACUGAGAUACGGCCCAGCAUCCUACGGGAGGCAGCAGUGGGGAAUGUUGCACAAUGGGCGGAAGCCUGAUGCAGCAACGCCGCGUGCGGGAUGACGGCCUUCGGGUUGUAAACCGCUUUCGCCUGUGACGAAGCGUGAGUGACGGUAAUGGGUAAAGAAGCACCGGCUAACUACGUG